UAUUACAUCAGCAUGUCCUGGGUGACAUCUAAGUGAUUUCAAAUGUACUAUCAGUGACUGAAUUCUGCUACUUGUUUGGGGUCAGUGGUGAAACCUAAAAGCUUUGGCUCUGCUAAGAAGUUGGAUACUCUUCUGGUCCUGUCCUGUUGUGGCUCUGGAUGGAAGAAGAGCGGUUGUCCCUGAAAACCUGCUCCUUCAGUCCCACACUGCAGCCUCUAGCGAGACUCAAAUGCCGUGGAGGGUGGUUGUGCAUCUCUUCCUUGUGUGUUUUAUGUGACCUGUUGUCAGGUGAAGAGAAGUCUGGAGUCUUGGCCUGAUCGGAGGCAUGAGUUACAAAUGUCCCACACGGAGUCAAACCUCCCACUCCAAGGAGGAGCAAGUUUCUCAGUUCAACUCCUGCUCUCCAACCACUAAUCCUUCUGGAUUUGUCUGCAAUUUCGACUGCAAACCGCCGUCACGGUACCCAAGCCAAAUGCGCUGAUUCGGCACAGGAGACAGCUUUGCUCUAGCAGCGUGCAGCUCCAGGGCGGUCUCAGAGCUCAUGAACUUGGUUCCUCCCGGAUGAAACGGAGAGGUAGCUACCCCACUGCUCCCUAUCUGCAUCUUUGGAAGAUCUGUAGCUUUCCCUCAUUCUGAGGAUUGAUAGUAGGUGCCUGUUAAGCUUUUCCGCAGAAGAAAACAGCUGUUUAAAUAGCAAUUAUUAUUGCGUCCUGUCUUUUGGCUUGGGAGCCAGAAGAAGCUGCUCUGGCGAUGCGAGGAGACCGUGGCUGAGGAACGCUUGUGCCGUGGGCUUCUUGCUCCUACUUCACUGGAGCCUGGCUCCGUAUUGUUCUUGACACGUAGGGAUACGUGGUUUGCAAACUCAUAACGUGUGACAGGGUGGUUGGUAAAGAACUUAACAUUUUUCACGCAAGAGGACGCAGUCAGCUUUCCCGCUGUCGUAUCUCAAAGGACACCUCUCCCCCGCCGUGGAGAGGAGCUGGCUGCAAUGUGGUGGGAGAGGUCUCCCAGGCUCCUCGUCGAGAGCUGGGCUGCCCUGGUGGCUUGGGGGGCUGGUUCAGGGCAACCCUUAACUCUACGCUUAAAAUAAGGGACUGGGAUGCUGCCCUGUUUCUGUCUCAAGGGUCUGCACUACCACCCAUCUCACCAAAAAUGUGCGUUUUUACGUCAGCACCAACAACAAACACCCUAGUAAAUUUUAUGCAGUCCUUGCGUUUCUUCUUUGUUGGGAUGUGAACUCUGCUUCAGGGUAGUGUUUUCUGUGUUAUGUUUUUUCUUCUUUUUUUUUGAUUUGUCUCAAUUUUUUUUUUUUUUUUGUCUGUCUGAUCAGCACCUUUUGGAGGAAGAUCAUGGCUGCUUCAUGGAAUCAGAGCCCGUGAAAAGAUUUCUUAGCAAGUGUUUUUUAGAUAUAACAGUUUUAAUAAGCACUUUUCACAGACAUUUUGAGACUCCUUCUUGCUUCAAUAGCUAUAGCACAAAGACUCAAAGAAGAUACAUCUGAAUAGUGGCGGUCAUAAAAAUAGUUUUUUAAACUAGAGAACAAGAGCUUUCUUAAAUUACAGUGUGAUGUCAGGAGUGAAAAUGAUUGGUGUUGGUGACAGAGACAGGGAGAGAGGAGAGAGCAAGGAAAAAGAAAGCACCAGCGAUAAAACCAAGCAAGUUCGUUUAAGAACUGCUGCUCAGUCCUUAGAGUAGAUUUUUCAGUUCAUCUCUAGGACU